AGAGUUUGAUCAUGGCUCAGAUUGAACGCUGGCGGCAUGCUUUACACAUGCAAGUCGAACGCGAAAGGGGGCAACCCUGAGUAGAGUGGCGAACGGGUGAGUAACGCAUCGGAACGUGUCCCGUCGUGGGGGAUAACCAGCCGAAAGGCUGGCUAAUACCGCAUGAGACCUGAGGGUGAAAGCGGGGGAUCGAAAGACCUCGCGCGAUGGGAGUGGCCGAUGUCCGAUUAGCUAGUUGGUGGGGUAAAGGCCCACCAAGGCUGCGAUCGGUAGCGGGUCUGAGAGGAUGAUCCGCCACACUGGGACUGAGACACGGCCCAGACUCCUACGGGAGGCAGCAGUGGGGAAUUUUGGACAAUGGGGGAAACCCUGAUCCAGCCAUGCCGCGUGGGUGAAGAAGGCCUUCGGGUUGUAAAGCCCUUUCGGCCGGGACGAAAUCGCGCCUUUGAACAGGGGGCGUGGAUGACGGUACCGGAGGAAGAAGCACCGGCUAACUACGUGCCAGCCGCCGCGGUAAUAC
rnacentral:rRNA from 1 species